rnacentral:rRNA from 1 species
UACGAAGGGGGCUAGCGUUGCUCGGAAUCACUGGGCGUAAAGCGCACGUAGGCGGAUCGCUAAGUCAGGGGUGAAAUCCUGGAGCUCAACUCCAGAACUGCCUUUGAUACUGGCAAUCUCGAGUCCGGGAGAGGUGAGUGGAACUGCGAGUGUAGAGGUGAAAUUCGUAGAUAUCGCAAGAACACCAGUGGCGAAGGCGGCUCACUGGCCCGGUACUGACGCUGAGGUGCGAAAGCGUGGGGAGCAAACAGG